AGGAGCAUCAGGUAUGCCAGAGGGUUCGAUCAUGGCUCAGAUUGAACGCUGGCGGGAUCUUUACAUGCGUCGAACGGCAGCACGGACUUCGGUCUGGUGGCGAGUGGCGAACGGGUGAGUAAUGUAUCGGAACGUGCCUAGUAGCGGGGGAUAACUACGCGAAAGCGUAGCUAAUACCACAUACGCCCUUCGGGGAAAAGCGGGGGACCUUCGGGCCUCGCACUAUUAGAGCGGCCGAUAUCGGAUUAGCUAGUUGGUGGGGAAACAACGGCUCGCAAGGCGACGAUCCGUAGCUGGUUUGAGAGGACGACCAGCCACACUGGGACUGAGACACGGCCCAGACUCCUACGGGGAGGCAGCAGUGAGAAUUUUGGACAAUGGGGGAAACCACAAUCCAGCCAUCCCGCGUGUGCGAUGAAGGCCUUCGGGUUGUAAAGCACUUUUGGCAGGAAAGAAACGGCCUGGGAUAAUACCCGUGCAACUGACGGUACCUGCAGAAUAAGCACCGGCUAACUACGUGCCAGCAGCCGCGGUAGCCACGUAGGGUGCAAAGCGUUAAUCGGAAUUACUGGGCGUAAAGCGUGCGCAGGCAGUUCGGAAAGAAAGAUCUUGAAAUCCCAGAGCUUAACUUUGGAACUGCAUUUUUAACUACCGAGCUAGAGUGUCAGAGGGAAGGUGGAAUUCCGCGUGUAGCAGUGAAAUGCAUAGAUAUGCGGAGGAACACCGAUGGCGAAGGCAGCCUCCUGGGAUAACACUGACGCUCAUGCACGAAAAGCGUGGGGAGCAAAACCCAGGAUUAGAUACCUGGUAGUCCACGCCUAAACGUGUCAACUAGCUGUUGGGGCCUUCGGGCCUUGGUAGCGCAGCUAACGCGUGAAGUUGACCGCCUGGGGAGUACGGUCGCAAGAUUAAAACUCAAAGGAAUGACGGGGACGCACAAGCGGUGGAUGAUGUGGAUUAAUUCGAUGCAACGCGAAAAACCUUACCUACCCUUGACAUGUCUGGAAUCCCGAGAUUUGAAGUGCUCGCAAGAGAACCGGAACACAGGUGCUGCAUGGCUGUCGUCAGCUCGUGUCGUGAGAUGUUGGGUUAAGUCCCGCAACGAGCGCAACCCUUGUCAUUAGUUACUACGAAAGGGCACUCUAAUGAGACUGCCGGUGACAAACCGGAGGAAGGUGGGGAUGACGUCAAGUCCUCAUGGCCCAUAUGGGUAGGGCUUCACACGUCAUACAAUGGUCGGGACAGAGGGUCGCCAACCCGCGAGGGGAGCCAAUCCCAGAAACCCGAUCGUAGUCCGAGAUCGCAGUCUGCAACUCGACUGCGUGAAGUCGGGAGAUCGCUAGUAAUCGCGGAUCAGCAUGUCGCGGUGAAUACGUUCCCCGGGUCUUGUACACACCGCCCGUCACACCAUGGGAGUGGGUUUUACCAGAAGUAGUUAGCCUAACCGUAAGGAGGGCGAUUACCACGGUAGGAUUCAUGACUGGGGUGAAGUCGUAACAAAGGUAA
rnacentral:rRNA from 1 species